rnacentral:lncRNA from 1 species
UCUGUUAUAAUCUCCACCCGGCAUAGCCAGAAGAGGACUGGCCACCCCUCAUAGCCUGGUUCCUCUCUAGGCUUCUUCCUAGGUUUUGGCCUUUCUAGGGAGUUUUUCCUAGCCACCGUGCUUCUACACCUACAUUGCUUGCUGUUUGGGGUUUUAGGCUGGGUUUCUGUACAGCACUUUGAGAUAUCAGCUGAUGUAAGAAGGGCUAUAUAAAUAAAUUUGAUUUAAAAUAAGGGUUAAAUAAAAAAAUAAAAAAUCUGCAAAUAUACUGUCCUUGUAGCAGGGACAACAGAAACAAACAUCAUUCUUGGUUCUUGGAUCUGAAUCAACUCGACCCCAAAAGAGAAAAAGAAGCGAGAAAAAGACUGCUCCUGACCAAACCAGAUAAACAUUGGAAUUAAUUUUUUAAGAGUAACACUGAAAUGGCCACUGUUCUUAUGGACUGGGAGAUACUGUUGGAGAGUCUGAUUUCGAGAGAACAUGAAGCUGUACAAGUUGUGGUUGUGAAAAAACUGAGAGACCUCAGCCAGGAGAUGUCAUCGAGCCCCUCCCAACUGCAUCAAGCACCAGAUAUGCUGUUCUAAAAGGACCCAAAGACAUUUCAAGAUCCAGAGAAGAGGGUCCUGUACAGCCGUGUUUGAAAACAUUUCCCAGAACUCAGCAUGGUACUAGGAAAAGGGCUUUCAACGGCUCCUGGUAUAAGGACAAUUCAUGGCUUGAAUAUUCUGUAAUUCAAGAUUCAACUUAUUGUUUCGCCUGUAGGCAUUUUUCUCUGCCCAAUACACCUGAAUCUGCCUUCACAUCAGUCAGGUUUUUGUAACUGGAAAAAGACGCUGUUUAAAGAUUCUGGGUUUAAGCUCCAUUCGAAGGCAGAGCAUCAUAUCAAUGCUAUGUAUGCAUGGAAUCAGCAUAAAAGGGCUAUUGACAGCAACUCAUCAAUGUUAGAUGUCAUGAAAGUGGAGGAAAACUGUACUGAUAUUAAAACAAUUGCAGAUGUGCUCCUAUUAACAGCCACUCAAAAUAUAGCGCAGAGAGGUCAUCGAGAGUCUGGUGACUCUCACAACAAGGGUAAGUUUUUGACAAUCUUAGAAGAAAUAGCAAAGUAUGACCCACAUAGAGAAAAGGAUGAAUGCAUGUGGCAAUGCUAAGUACACAAGCCACCAAAUCCAGAAGGAAGUUCUUGAGGGCUGAAAUGGUACAAAGUGAACUAAUAAGAGAAGUAAAAGAAAGUGAAGUUUUUAGUGUAAUUGCAGAUGAAACCAAAGAUAAAAAGAACAAAUGUGUUUAGUUGUGAGCAGGGGCGGAAAUCCCGGGGGGACACGACCCCCCAUAUCCUGGGAAAAACAUGAUUUGUCCCCCCCAAUAUAUCACUGAAACAUAACUAUGUAAUUUAAAUCAUAUUAAUAAUACGCAAUGAAAG